GCUGGAAAGAAGAGAACUUUGAACAGCCUGACAGUAGGUUAGUUCUCCAGAACCUUUUAAAUCCCCAAGGCAUGUGGGAUCCUAGCUCCUCGACCAGGGAUCGAAAACCCACACCCUCUGCAUUAGAAGGCGAAGUCUUAACCGCUAGACCGCGAGGUCAUCUUUGCCAUUAGCAACUGGAACAAGAGUUAAAGUGCAUGUGGCAUUUCUAAGGUGCCAUUUCUUGCUGAAAGGUUAGCACCAUAAUGAAGUUUCAGGGAAAAGACGAGGCCAUCUUUUCUGUUUUCUUACACUAUGUUUACCUAAAACUGGAAGAGGAUGAAAUUGGAUUUGAAGCAUCACAAAGUGAUUAAUGGGCCCAGCCACCUGUCCUACCUGGAUCAAAG